rnacentral:rRNA from 1 species
AGAGUUUGAUCCUGGCUCAGGAUGAACGCUAGCGGCAGGCCUAAUACAUGCAAGUCGAACGGCAGCGGGUGUAGCAAUACAUGCCGGCGAGUGGCGCACGGGUGCGUAACGCGUAUGCAACCUACCCAUAACUGGGGGAUAGCCCGGAGAAAUUCGGAUUAAUACCCCAUAAUAUAUCGGAUUGGCAUCUUUCUGAUAUUAAAGCUCAGGCGGUUAUGGAUGGGCAUGCGUGACAUUAGUUUGUUGGUGAGGUAACGGCUCACCAAGACUACGAUGUCUAGGGGUUCUGAGAGGAUGAUCCCCCACACUGGUACUGAGACACGGACCAGACUCCUACGGGAGGCAGCAGUAAGGAAUAUUGGGCAAUGGAGGCAACUCUGACCCAGCCAUGCCGCGUGAAGGAUGAAGGCCCUAUGGGUUGUAAACUUCUUUUGUAUGGGAAUAAACGCGGUUACGUGUAACCGUUUGAAUGUACCAUAAGAAUAAGCACCGGCUAACUCCGUGCCAGCAGCCGCGGUAAUACGGAGGGUGCAAGCGUUAUCCGGAUUUAUUGGGUUUAAAGGGAGCGUAGGCGGGAUUGUAAGUCAGUGGUGAAAGCCCGUAG